GAUUAUGGCUCAGGAUGAACGCUGGCGGCGUGCUUAACACAUGCAAGUCGAACGAAGCGCUUAAGUGGAUCCCCUCGGGGUGAAACUUAAGUGACUUAGUGGCGGACGGGUGAGUAACGCGUGGGUAAUCUGCCUCAUACAGGGGGAUAACAGUUGGAAACGACUGCUAAGACCGCAUAAAACAGUAGUGUCGCAUGACACAACUGUCAAAUAUUUAUAGGUAUGAGAUGGGCCCGCGUCUGAUUAGCUAGUUGGUGGGGUAAUGGCCUACCAAGGCGACGAUCAGUAGCCGGCUUGAGAGAGUGACCGGCCACAUUGGGACUGAGACACGGCCCAAACUCCUACGGGAGGCAGCAGUGGGGAAUAUUGCACAAUGGGCGAAAGCCUGAUGCAGCGAACCGCCGCGUGAGUGAAGAAGUAUUUCGGUAUGUAAAGCUCUAUCAGCAGGGAAGAUAAUGACAGUACCUGACUAAGAAGCCCCGGCUAACUACGUGCCAGCAGCCGC
rnacentral:rRNA from 1 species